GUGAACCAUGUGGUUCUCGUAAGAUGGAAAAAGAUCAUCCAGUGCAAGCCACUUGUUAUAGUUAAUUAUAGUCCCAAAAAUUUCAUGAUUUUUUAUAGUUAUCUAAUUACAAACUUUAAUCCUCUUAUAUAUGUCCACUAUCUAAAGUCUUGUUCUUUAAAUAAACGAUUUCAUUCUAUUUUUUAAUACGACCCAUUAGAUUUGGAAUCAAUGGCUAGGAUUUAAUUUCACUUAUAUUAUUUUUGUAAGUUUUUUUUUUACUGGUGUCAUCCGGUUACUUCCCUCCAAUCAAUCAAAAAAUUUGACACUCAAAACCCUUAUUCACACGCCUACUUCAAACCUUCUCCUAUACCCAUUUAUCUUCUUCUAAAAGAAACCUUGAACAUUUACCAAUUUCUCUUUCAUUAACUUUCAAGACCCACGAAGUGCCUCUUCUUCAUCAACUGGAAGUAACAAGGACAAGCUUCCCGUUGACUUCAUCAAGGGAGGGUUUUCAAAGAUUUGAGAGGCAAUUAUAGCACUUGUUGUUUGCGUUAAGGUAGUGUUGUACCCUAAUUUUAGCCCGAGUUCAUUCACUCAGCUUGGGUACAGCUGGCGAAUAAAUAUACAGAGAAAUAUCCAAGGGAAUGGUAUCUGCUUAUUAUCCACGUAGGCCCCUCGACUUGCACAGUGGUCAUACGAGCUAGGGACGCGGAGGUUGAGAAGCGCGAGCUCAGAAUAUUCAAACAACUGUCAAAGUACGAGCUUGGACGGUAUAUCCAGUUCGUGGCGAUCCUAGUAUAUUUCAUACUGAAGGAUCCCUGGAGAUUCAGAAUCCCAUUAUACGGUUAUUUAUGACCAGGCUGCCAUAUUUAUUGUCCGAGAUAAUAGGAACCUAUUUAUUAUAUUAUCAAUUCAUAUCCCAAUAUAAAUGGGAAUUGUUUGUAUUAAAUGUAAUAAAUAUGUAUAUGCGUGAUGACUCACGCGGUUACCCAAACCUGUCCAUGGAAUUUCUCUAUAAAUACUGGGAAUAUUGGACAGGAAAUGGGACCAUUAUUUUGUAAUACUGAAACUCUGCCAAAAUAGAGAGAGAAACAACAAUAAUAUAGACUCGUGGACUAGGUGGAUUUUAACCACUGAACCACGUAAAA